rnacentral:rRNA from 1 species
AUCCUGGCUCAGGACGAACGCUGCGGCGUGCCUAACACAUGCAAGUCGAACGGAGUUGAGACUUCGGUUUAACUUAGUGGCGAACGGGUGAGUAACGCGUGAGAAACCUGCCUUUCAGUGGGGGACAACAGUUGGAAACGCCGGCUAAUACCCCAUGGUGAUGGUUUGAGGCAUCUCUUUCCAUCUAAAGAAUUUCGGAAACGGAUAGGCUCGCGUGACAUUAGCUAGAUGGCGGGUAACGGCCCACCAUGGCGACGAUCAGUAGCCGGUCUGAGAGGAUGAACGGCCACAUUGGGACUGAGAUACGGCCCAGACUCCUACGGGAGGCAGCAGUGGGGAAUAUUGGGCAAUGGGGGAAACCCUGACCCAGCAACGCCGCGUGAAGGAAGAAGGCCCUCGGGUUGUAAACUUCUUUUACCAGGGACGAAGAACGUGACGGUACCUGGAGAAAAAGCAACGGCUAACUACGUG